UUCAAGCUGUGUGAUUGACACGUUGCUGAGAUUUGAAAUUAAGUAAUUUUCCAAAUAUUUUCACCGCGCAUUGAAGAUGGAGACAGUUCGUUACGUUGCUGUUUUUAUCGUGGUCCUUGGUGUCGUUAUGGAUGACCGACAUUCAGCAAGAAGCAAAGACGUUAUUAUAACGCAUUCGCCUCCGAUCCUGACCCGAGAUUUCAAGCCGAUCACCACAGCCAAAGACGAGUGUAGGAAAUUAAUAAAUAAAAAUUGGAAGGAGAUGCAAGACACGUUCAAAUAUUAUCAUACAAAGGAAAAAACGCCUGGAGAUUUCAAGGCUGGUAAAAAGUUACUGUCGACAAAUGCAACGCGAGAUAUAAAAGCUCUCCUUGUAACGGUGAAAAAUGAAGCAGGCCCAAAAGACUACGUAUUCAUGUCAGUUAUGCCUAAGCUUACGAUAUCUUGCAGCCAAGAAGUCGUAAACAAAAUGCUUGAUAUCAAAGACAAGUACUAUUUGUCACUUCCUCCUACUACUACUACUACUACGACUACCACCACCCCCAAGACUCCCACCAACACCACCACCACACCACGACUACGACCACCAUCGCUGUCCAAGUCUCCCACCAACACCACCACCAUCCCCAAGACUCCCACCAACACCACCACCACACCACCACUACGACUGCCACCAUCGCUGUCCAAGUCUCCCACCAACACCACCACCAUCCCCAAGACUCCCACCAACACCACCACCACACCACGACUACGACCACCAUCGCUGUCCAAGUCUCCCACCAACACCACCACCAUCCCCAAGACUCCCACCAACACCACCACCACACCACCACUACGACUGCCACCAUCGCUGUCCAAGUCUCCCACCAACACCACCACCAUCCCCAAGACUCCCACCAACACCACCACCACACCACCACUACGACUGCCACCAUCGCUGUCCAAGUCUCCCACCAACACCACCACCAUCCCCAAGACUCCCACCAACACCACCACCACACCACGACUACGACCACCAUCGCUGUCCAAGUCUCCCACCAACACCACCACCAUCCCCAAGACUCCCACCAACACCACCACCACACCACCACUACGACUGCCACCAUCGCUGUCCAAGUCUCCCACCAACACCACCACCAUCCCCAAGACUCCCACCAAUACCACCACCACACCACCACUACCACCGCCACCAUCGCUGUCCAAGUCUCCCACCAACACCACCACCAUCCCCAAGACUCCCACCAACACCACCACCACACCACCACUACCACCGCCGCCAUCGCUGUCCAAGUCUCCCACCAACACCACCACCAUCCCCAAGAUUCCCGCCAAAACCACCACCACACCACCGCUACCACCGCCGCCACCGCUGUCCAAGCCUUAAAAUGCUACGUUCUGGACAAUUAUAACAAGCGUGAUGUUCAUCAUUAGUACCGAUUGGGUCUUCCCUUCAUCCAUGCGAGUUCCAUGUCAACUUUUUCCUCCUCUUUUCCCCAAACACUGCAUUUGUCUGCAGGAUUCAUCGGGCUACCCACAGGACAAUUGAACGCUUCGGCGAAGCCUUUCGAGUUG
rnacentral:misc_RNA from 1 species